ACUGGCGACCAAGGCGAGAGGGCAACACCCGUACCCAUUCCGAACACGGAAGUUAAGUCUCUCAGCGAUUCGACCGGUACUGCCGAUUGGCGGAAAAGUCGAGACGUCGCCAGAC
rfam:Candidatus Nanosalina sp. J07AB43 genomic scaffold scf_7180000030742, whole genome shotgun sequence.